UACGUAGGGUGCAAGCGUUGUCCGGAAUUAUUGGGCGUAAAGAGCUCGUAGGCGGUCUGUCGCGUCUGCUGUGAAAACCUAGGGCUUAACUCUGGGCGUGCAGUGGGUACGGGCAGGCUAGAGUGCGGUAGGGGAGACUGGAAUUCCUGGUGUAGCGGUGAAAUGCGCAGAUAUCAGGAGGAACACCGGGUGGCGAAGGCGGGUCUCUGGGCCGAUACUGACGCUGAGGAGCGAAAGCGUGGGGAGCGAACAGG
rnacentral:rRNA from 1 species